UACCUUCCUAUCUAGAGUCAUGUUCUUAGAAAGUUGUAGCUACUUCAUGUCAUGUCUAAUCACCUUCCUCCAGUGUUUCUUUGGCUUACCUCUACUCCUCCUAAAGACAUCUAGUGCUAGCUUCUCACACCUACGAACUAGGCAUCUGCAUCCUUCUUAUCGCAUGCCCAAACCGUCUCAGCCUUCCUUUCCGUAUCUUGUCCUCCACCGAAGCCACUCCCACCUUCUCCCAGAUAAUC
rnacentral:lncRNA from 1 species